rnacentral:lncRNA from 1 species
CCACUAACUCCGUCCAGCAGCAGGACUUGUCACCAUCCACACAAACAACACUGCAAACAGGGUUGUCUGUGAUCAUUCACACACAUACACAUUCAGCCCUCCGGAAUUUCACCAUCAAGGAAGUACUUUAUCGACUCCCGUGGCUUCUCCUUCGUUGGUCUGUGCACAGAGUCGUCGCCAUGGUAGAUGAGGAUCCUUUACCCCAGAAGCUAUUUUGAAUUGGAUGUUGUCAUUUGCAAUGAAAGGAGUCCAGAUACAAAGGCACGUAUAUUUCCCAUUUUAAGUGACUGAACAAGAGAAGUAAAUCUUCUGAAUGACUGCAGCACAAUGGAUUUCUACCAGGCGGGUAUGAGAAUAUCCCUUUCUUCACGUUCCCAUUAGCACUGAGUGUUGAUGCUGAGAUCGUUAAGGAAAUUUGCCAUGCUCAGGUGGCCCUAUCUGGCACAUAAGUAGAAACAGAUGUUGAGAAGAGCAAGGAGGUAUGUGGUGCCGAUGUCUCAGUUCUGGGAAAAGGAAACACUUCACAGAAAAUAGGUGCCACCUGUAGGGGGUUGCAGUCUGCCAAGUGAAACCAGUUUGGCUAAAGAUAGCUAAAAAUAUUCCCCUAGGGUAUAAGGUAAUGUUUGUUUAUGUAUGAGACUGAAUGAGGGUGUGUGUGUGUCUACGUGUGUGUGAAUGCAUGUGUACCUUCUGCAUCAUCCACUCCAAUGAAGCCUUUUGACCUGUUCAUGAAUCCAAUUGCUGAAAGAACAAUUUUUAUUUAAUAUUUGACCUGUUAAGAAAAAUAGAACUGUUAAAUAAAUUUUUAACGGGUGCAGAAGAAAG